rnacentral:rRNA from 1 species
GACGAACGCUGGCGGCGUGCUUAACACAUGCAAGUCGAACGGAAAGGCCCUGCUUUUGUGGGGUGCUCGAGUGGCGAACGGGUGAGUAACACGUGAGUAACCUGCCCUUGACUUUGGGAUAACUUCAGGAAACUGGGGCUAAUACCGGAUAGGAGCUCCUGCUGCAUGGUGGGGGUUGGAAAGUUUCGGCGGUUGGGGAUGUACUCGCGGCUUAUCAGCUUGUUGGUGGGGUAGUGGCUUACCAAGGCUUUGACGGGUAGCCGGCCUGGGAGGGUGACCGGCCACAUUGGGACUGAGAUACGGCCCAGACUCCUACGGGAGGCAGCAGUGGGGAAUAUUGCACAAUGGGCGGAAGCCUGAUGCAGCAACGCCGCGUGCGGGAUGACGGCCUUCGGGUUGUAAACCGCUUUCGCCUGUGACGAAGCGUGAGUGACGGUAAUGGGUAAAGAAGCACCGGCUAACUACGUG